rnacentral:lncRNA from 1 species
AGGGACGGACUGGCACCUGCAGGAAGGACAGGGGCUUGGCUGAGCAGAGCAUGGCCAGCCUAGCCGAGGGCAGCCAGCAUCCUACACUCACUGGUCUCGAGGUGCCCAAGCCAGGGGCCCAGGACUUUGGGCAUUACUGGGAAAUGAUGGGAACCCAGGGUGAGGUGGCGUGAAACAAGAUGAGAUGGUAAGAUCUGCUUUCACUUUAAAGGAAUAUUUCUGGUUGUUGCUUGGAAAAGAAAUGUCAGGGGCAAGAAUGGUGCAGGAGGGCCGGCCUGGAGGACGGGGUGGGACUGCAGGGCGAGGGCAGGAGCCUGCGCUGGGUCAGGAGCCUGCGCUUACAUCGGAGGUGGCUGGGAGACCCUGGCUCUGGGGCAGAGGCCUGAGUAAGGGGGCCUUGCUGGGGAUUUGGGGGCCUCUGCGUGCUGGUGCCUUCCCGCCUCCAUUCCUCUCAGCCCUGAUUAGCUCUGUCUUGGAACGGGGUAACUACCUUUAUUCGAGAACUUGGGGCAAGCCCUGGGCUAUUCUGAAAACUCAAGCAUAUCGUUUUGAUUUCUCCACCUACAAGGAGCCCCAGGCUUCCUGAGACCUUGGGACACAGCAGCGCCAUAAACUGCUGCCCCUCCCAGGCCCAGGUGUUCACCCCAGGCUAGGGGUAGGGCUGGGGCUGCACCUUGGAACCUACCCUCCACCAGGGUUGUGGGGACUUCCAUGCAGCCUCAGUGGGAGCUUGCCUGUCACCUGCGGCCCAGGUGGUGUGACAAUGACCUUUGCCCUCCCCCUCCUUCCCACAGGUCCCGCAACUUAGCUGUGGAGACAGAUGGCAGUGGCAAGAGGCCGCUGCACGUGAACAAAUGCCCUCCCCACUCCGCGCACCCCCUGGUGGCUCAGGAGACUCUAUAGCCUGGGGCACAAGUGGCCCUUGAGGUGAUGUCAGUGCCCAGGUGCCUGGGUUCCUAUGUCCAGGGCACCUGCUCUGUCGCUGAAGGCUCUGACAAACUCUCAAGUGUCCGGGGAAAGAGACGCCCUGCUUCUUUUUCACAGCCUCCUGGUGGCCCUAGGCCUUUGUUACGGAGGCUCUGCCAAGGUGCACAUCUGGGUCCCAAGUAAACACCUAGAACUCAGAACUCCAGACAUCAGGCUCCAUGUGAAAAUCCGGGUCCAGGAAAUAUGGGUCCCAGGAAGUCCUCAGUCACCAAGAAACACUCAGGCCUCAGUUGGCUAUCCAGUCCCAAGUUGACACCCAGGCCUCAGGUGAACACCAGGCGCUAAGAAAACAUCAGGCCCCAGCUGAGAUCAAUCCCUGGGUGGUCGCCCGAACCCGACCUAAAUACCAAGCCCCAGGUUGACAUAGGGCCCCAGGUCACAUUAGGCUCCAGGUAGACACUGAACUCUAAGUAGACUUUAGGCCCCAUGUUCACAGCCACACCUCAAGAGGACACCACACCCCAGGGUAGCUGUAAGACUCCAUCCAGACACCAGUCCCCAGGUGGAGAAUUUGGGCCCCAUUGGAUAUCAGGUUCCAGGUAAACACCAAACCCUAGUUGGGUAUCUAAUCCAUAGGAGGACAUGAGGCACCAGGUUGGCACACAGCCCAUGCAUAGAUACCUACAGCACAGGUGGACAUGAGGCCUCAGGUACAUACCCAGCCCCCAGGUGACUAUCAGGGCCUAGGUGAACACCAGCUCCUAGAUGAACAUCGGGACCCCAGUGGAUACCCAGGCCCCUGGGAAACAUCAGGCUCCAGGUGGACACCAGGACCCAUGUGGGCAACCAGGUCCACAGGUACAUCAGGUUCCACACGGACACCCAACCUCCAAGUGGAUACCGAGCCCCCAGGGGUACACACCAGUCCCUCAACAACCGAAAGGUCACAUAUUCUCUGGCCAAAUGCAACACAGUCCUCUCCCCCAAAAAUAUGUACUUGGGAAACUGAAAAGUACACUUCUCAAUCAUUCUCAAGUCAAGGAACUCUUAAUAGAAGGCCAAAGACAUACCGAAAGAACAAACCAUGAAACUCCCGCAUCCAACACGAGUGCAAUGCUGCUCAACUAGUCCCAGAGCAAGACCCACCACAGGCUUUGCAUGGAGGACACCAAGCUAAUUUGUUUUUUUUGUAUUUUUAGUAGAGACGGGGUUUCACCAUGUUAGUCAGGAUGGUCUCGAUCUCCUGACCUCGUGAUCUGCCCGCCUCAGCCUCCCAAAGUGCUGGGAUUACAGGCCUGAGUCACUGCACCCAGCGAGAUAUGCGUACAUUUUUAAACAUGUCAAAUGUGAGAUGCAAUAUUUCUCAUAGAUUAAAACAAAACACAAACUCAAAAUCAGUAAUAUUCUUCACAUUUCAAAAUAUAAUGUAUUUUGCUGGAUUACCAC